rnacentral:misc_RNA from 1 species
GCAAACUUGGUCAUUUAGAGGAAGUAAAAGUCGUAACAAGGUUUCCGUAGGUGAACCUGCGGAAGGAUCAUUACUGAGUUAGGGUCCUCUCGGGCUCGACCUCCCAACCCUAUGUUUACUGUACCUAUGUUGCUUCGGCGGGCCCGUCUCACGACCGCCGGGGGACCGUCAGACGUCCUCUGGCCCGCGCCCGUCGGUGGCCCUACUUGAUAAACUCUGAUCGAAACGUGUCGUGUCUGAGUAAAAUUCAUAAAUUAAAGCAAAACUUUCAACAACGGAUCUCUUGGUUCUGGCAUCGAUGAAGAACGCAGC